UACGUAGGGUGCAAGCGUUAAUCGGAAUUACUGGGCGUAAAGCGUGCGCAGGCGGUUGUGCAAGACAGAUGUGAAAUCCCCGGGCUUAACCUGGGAACUGCAUUUGUGACUGCACAGCUGGAGUGCGGCAGAGGGGGAUGGAAUUCCGCGUGUAGCAGUGAAAUGCGUAGAUAUGCGGAGGAACACCGAUGGCGAAGGCAAUCCCCUGGGCUGACACUGACGCUCAGGCACGAAAGCGUGGGGAGCAAACAGG
rnacentral:rRNA from 1 species